CGUUAGCGGCGGACGGGUGAGUAACACGUGGAUAACCUACCUAUAAGACUGGGAUAACUUCGGGAAACCGGAGCUAAUACCGGAUAAUAUAUUGAACCGCAUGGUUCAAUAGUGAAAGACGGUUUUGCUGUCACUUAUAGAUGGAUCCGCGCCGCAUUAGCUAGUUGGUAAGGUAACGGUUUACCAAGGCAACGAUGCGUAGCCGACCUGAGAGGGUGAUCGGCCACACUGGAACUUAGACACGGUCCAG
rnacentral:rRNA from 1 species